GAUGAACGCUAGCGGCAGGCCUAAUACAUGCAAGCCGAACGGCAAGAACUUUAGCAAUAGAGUUCCUAGAGUGGCGUAAGGGUGCGUAACACGUAUGCAAUCUGCCCGCAACAGGAGGAUAGCUCCCCGAAAGGGGAAUUAAGACUCCAUAAGAUCACAGGAAGGCAUCUGAGAGUGAUUAAACUACCAGGGGUUGCGGAUGAGCAUGCGCANGAUUAGUUAGUUGGCGGGGUAACGGCCCACCAAGACGAUGAUCAUUAGGGGAACUGAGAGGUUGAUCCCCCACACUGGC
rnacentral:rRNA from 1 species